rnacentral:rRNA from 1 species
GGGGAAUCUUGCACAAUGGGGGCAACCCUGAUGCAGCGACGCCGCGUGAGCGAUGAAGCCCUUCGGGGCGUAAAGCUCUUUCGACCGGAACGAUAAUGACGGUACCGGGAGAAGAAGCUGCGGCUAACUACGUGCCAGCAGCCGCGGUAAUACGUAGGCAGCAAGCGUUGUUCGGAGUUACUGGGCGUAAAGAGUGCGCAGGCGGUUUUCUAAGUUCGGUGUGAAAUCUCCCGGCUUAACUGGGAGGGUGCGCCGAAGACUGGGAAGCUGGAGUGUGGGAAAGGCAGGCGGAAUUCCUGGUGUAGCGGUGAAAUGCGUAGAUAUCAGGAGGAACACCGGCGGUGUAGACGGCUUGCUAGACCAUAACUGACGCUGAGGCACGAAAGCGUGGGUAGCAAACA